UCGUGUUUUACCCAGAAAAUACAAAAUUUUGUAUAGUGUGAGUUUCCGGGUUACACACGACUUUUGUUACACACAACACCGAGCCAUAAUGGGGUGCUUACACACUUUGCAUCCUUGCCACAUUCUCGCGCAUGCGCAAAUUCAACUUCCUAAGGAAACGAGGUCGAGUGGAUGACAAUGCAAAUUUGACGCAACAGAUUAUGAGAUACAGAUGAAACAUGCAGGGAACCAUGUAAAUGAUUCUGAAAGUGGCUACCCAGGUGCUGUUUAAGGAAGCUUGUAAUAGGAGUGGAAAACCACCCAAAAACUAUGUGUCUCAAAAUGCCAGUAGAGACAUAGAAAGAAGAGAGGAACUAGCUGGGAUAUCAUUAUGAAGAACCUAACCUCCUUGGAGUCAAACUAUAUUCAGAGGGAAUGCAGAUACUGAGGCCCCCAAGCUCAUCUAGGAAGUUGGGAAGAAAAAAGCGAGGUAUUUGUAUGUCAUAAUUUGUAUUAUAUUUUGUUAUUCCCAAGCAAAUGAAGUUUAGGAGGGU